rnacentral:misc_RNA from 1 species
GGACACUUUCUGAAUACACAUCCGCUUAUGCACAUUAUAAAAUUCUGGGUUUUCUAAUUUUAUUGACUGCUUGGUUCUUUCCUAUUUCUUUGAUUCUUGUCAUUUUCUUCUUUGAAGAAAUUUCCAAUUUAGAUGUCUUCACAAAAUUCAGCUGGAAAACCAGAGAGCGUUACCAAUGCUAGCUUUCUGGAAUUCAAACUUAGAAUAUUCAUUUCGACCUACACAUCAA